rnacentral:lncRNA from 1 species
AGAAGAACUAGGAGUUCCGAUUUGCUAGCAUGAAAAAUAACUUUCCUGAAGUAACUAUUGUGUUUCCCUUUCUUACCAUAGUUUGGACACCUUUAAGCCCCUCGAAGCUGGUGAGAUUACGUCAGAAGACGGAGGUGACUAAAAUAUAAGGGAAAAAAAUAACUUCAGAGUGUCCCAGUUCCCCAGAGUAUCUGCCUAAUGGACCACGAACUGGAUGGGAGACUGCAGAAGGGCUGCUGUUCAAAAGCAGGAUGACUCCAAUGUAUGCCACCGUGAGGAUGCUUCCAGCACCCUCCCAGCUAACCUGAAAGAAACUAGGAUGAGUGCCAGCCCCUGCUUUCAUUUCCCAGUUCUGAAAUGGCUAUGUAUGUCACAACCUGUGAGUCUGGAAACUCAGCACUCUCGACAGGGAACAGGUCUUCCCUGGUUGCUUCUGGGGCUGCUGGCCUUGGGGAUCUCUGCUAACCUCCCCAGGAAACUAUCUGCGGGCAAGAGUUUCUCUUUUGAUGCAGUUGUGGUUUUGCAAGUCUGUCUCUUUAGGAUUCUGAGACUGCAACCAGCUGUGGAAUGUGAUCAAGUGAUGGGAUCCUGAGAUGGAGAGGAAAGAGACAAUAGAACUACCAAAAUGGAAAAAGGUUAGUAUUUUCCAUAUUCAUUAAUGGCUUACUUGAGUU